AUACCUGAAUACACACUCUGCUUUAUAUUUUUAAAACCUAAAUUCUAAAAAAAAAAACCUAACCCAACAAAGGAAUUUUUUAGUUUUCUGAAUUUAUUUGCUAACACUCCAGAAGUAUUUAAAUCACAUUUAGUUAUAAAAUGAUCAUAAUGUUGAAAAUAAUAAAAUGAUAUAAAAAAUGGUGUCAUGGAGCAAGCAUUAUAGGUAAGGACAGUCUGGGCUAAUCCACUUUGCCCUCAAUGUGUGGGAUAUGUGUUUAUGAAAUAUUGUGAACCAGACUAAUUCACUUUAGGGCAGCUCUACCUGGAGACACAGAAGAUUAUUAGAUAGUGACACCAUGGGUUUUGACCAUGUGGAAGAGGCUGGUCCCUACUCUUCAGUGUUACAUCUUGGUUAAAUAAAUCAGUCAUGUACAAAAGUCUGGGCUGACGCUUUAAUAAUGCCCAUUUUGGUCCGCUCCACGUGGUUUCAUAAACUAUUUCUGCCUGAAUCAGAUCUGUUGCUGAGAAUUUCAGUUUGCCCUAAUCAUUGUCAGCUUCCUUAUUUCACAUCUUGAAGUCCACCUUAAAAACAAAUCUGCUAUAAUAGCUGACAUAAAGGACAUCUCAUUUAAAAAAAAAAGAUCCCAUUUACUUUUUUUCAUGAGUUUGUUUUCCCAAGUAAAUGUUGUCUGUAGGGCUUUUAGUC
rnacentral:lncRNA from 1 species